UGUCAUUGCCUGCUGACGU
rnacentral:misc_RNA from 1 species